rnacentral:rRNA from 1 species
GAUGAACGCUGGCGGCGUGCCUAAUACAUGCAAGUCGAGCGAACGGACGAGAAGCUUGCUUCUCUGAUGUUAGCGGCGGACGGGUGAGUAACACGUGGAUAACCUACCUAUAAGACUGGGAUAACUUCGGGAAACCGGAGCUAAUACCGGAUGAUAUUUUGAACCGCAUGGUUCAAAAGUGAAAGACGGUCUUGCUGUCACUUAUAGAUGGAUCCGCGCUGCAUUAGCUAGUUGGUAAGGUAACGGCUUACCAAGGCAACGAUGCAUAGCCGACCUGAGAGGGUGAUCGGCCACACUGGAACUGAGACACGGUCCAGACUCCUACGGGAGGCAGCAGUAGGGAAUCUUCUGCAAUGGGCGAAAGCCUGACGGAGCAACGCCGCGUGAGUGAUGAAGGUCUUCGGAUCGUAAAACUCUGUUAUUAGGGAAGAACAUAUGUGUAAGUAACUGUGCACAUCUUGACGGUACCUAAUCAGAAAGCCACGGCUAACUACGUG